AAAAAAACCACACUGAAAUCAAAUGAUCUCUUUCAUUAUAAGGAAGCAAACGUCCUGUUCUCUUUCUCCAGUGACUAUUGCUUCACUUACUAAUGGCUUGAAAUUCCCUUUUUUUCCCCCCCCUCUUGCCUAGGUAUCACCAAACGCGUCUAUCUAAUCAUUGAAAGGGGGUCUUUCAAGGUUUGGCGUAGCGGCUAGAUCACAGCUCGCGGGUGACGUCUGUCUUCGUUCAUUACUUCUGCUUCCCCCAAGUUGGCAACAUCCCUGUCUGGAAGCUGAACCCACUCGGCUGGCCCCCGAUGCUUCUGGAAGCUAUGGCUCGGCACCGCACCUGGAACCCAUCUGGCAGCAGUGGAGGCGAGCGGAACAUGACACGCGCCACGGCCAGCCACGUCGGAAGUGUGACUCGAACAAAAGGAUGAAAACGACUCCAAGCCCAGUUAAGUCGAAAGCGGCGUUUAUUCAAACAAACCAAGCUCCUCUGUUUCCUUCCCAACGGGAUACGUCUUCAAGUGGGGGAGCCCACAAGUGUAAAAAGACAAGGGCUUUAGAAAACCCGACUGUGAGGUGCCCAACCACGUGGACCGUGGCCGUGGCUGCGAAGCCACUUCCGAGGCGGGGCGCGUACCUCCUCCCGCCAACUGCUGGCCUAGCGCGCCCUCAGGUUCAAUCACCGUGGCACGCCCCCAACGGAGGGACAUCCCAAGAGGGACACAAUAAACAAUCUUCAGCCUUGUCAGAAAUGCAAGUUGCACGGAGCCGGGCACGGAAGAUAUUCAUCUGAGACACGCACACCAAUUCGGUCUGCGAAGUGCUACGGUCGGCACCACUUGAGAAUCCGAGGUUUGCAGCUUCCCGGCCCGAGCAGGCACACCCCAAGGCGGCAGCAAAGUCACCCUUCUUACGGAAAAAAAAAAAAAAAAAAGAGUCACCGCCUCCAGGGACCGGACGUGGAGAUUUUAAGCCUGAAGUCUCCCUGACUGUGCAAAUGAACAGGAGCAGUAGGAAAUACCUCAUCGCGGAUGGCAAAAAUUCACCUUUCAUUCGCGCGUAGCAGAUCCCAGCCAUCGCUCCGGGGUUGAGACAUGCUUAUUACCGAAGUACAGCUGACCUACGGGCACUCGCUCAGGCCGCCUCCUCCCGGGUUCCAGGUACCUCCCGGGCUAAAUAGGGUUGCCAAGCUCACGGAUACAAGAAUGUUACACGUGACACAUUAGAUGGCGCAUGGCCUCCAACUAGGAAAGUGAAAAAACGAUCCCGAUUGUAACUCCCAGCCACAAAGCACACACGGUUAUUUAGGAAGGCGGAUGGACCCUCCCGGCCCAGCCUUUGGCUACAGGCAGAUCUUCAAGAGAAAAACGUGUGGCCACAUCACCCAGCACGAUGUAGUUUAGAAACGCCAGACACGUGUACGUAACACUGACGCUAAGAAACCCAGAGAAGGCUCAGGACUAGGGAGAAACGCUGUACUGAUUGGCUGAAGUCACGUGUCUUUAUGACACUCGAAAUUCACCCCGGGAACUCACGAGACUAGAGGUUCCGCAGACAGGCUGGCGUCACUACAAUCCGGCCGACCCGCCCCCAGGAUGACAUUCUCCCCGAGGCAGGGCGUGGGCUCAAGCGGCGGCUGGAGUUCACUGGACACGUGGGGAGCCUACGGAACUGCGCUGAUUCUGAACAGAACCAGGGUGAGCUGCGAGAUGUAUGGCCUGUGAGAUGCCACAAGGCCACGCUUGUGCACAGGGGCACAGGGGCUGACGCUUCUUUCUGCAAGUGUCUCUGACAGCAGGCGUCCCUAGAGGAGGAGUGCGGUCAGGGACCUGUCGGAUUCUUCCUGAGUCAGGGGGCUGCCCGGCAGGGUUGGGCGGACGUGACCGAGUCUGAGUCGCUCUGGCUUCCAAGGCAACUGUCUGAUGCCCACACCCCUAAGGUAACUGCCGACCACCCGCUCUGGCUGCGGCCCCUCGACCCUGCCCUAGGAACAUCCCAGUGUACAACCUUGAGUCUACAGCCUAAGGACUAGGUCUUGCUUGGGAGUUCAUGUGUCUCUAGUUGCGUUAGAAUACUAACGCAACUAAUAUGGCUGUAAAGCAAGUUUCCCUUUAGAGGUUCCUUUGGAAAAUUCUUGGAAAGUAUGGGUGCAAAAAAAAUCAUUUCCAGGGGGUGGAAAUGAGUUGCCUAUGACAUCCUGGGACGUCCUCAGUUUGCCCAGCAGAUCCUUCAGAGCCAUCUGCCGACAAAGGAUCCGGCUUCCUACCCCACCUCCCUUCUCAGAUUCUAGAACCUUCGAAGUCCCAAUCACCCCCUUCCCUGGUCCUCGAAUGAACCAAUCUUCACCUGGCUUGGGCAAUGCGAAGUGUCAGGGGCCGCGUUAUCACGCUGCCCAUGCUGACACCUGACCCGUGACUCCGGCUUGAAUGUUCUUGAAGUUUCGGGCUUGCUGCUGUAGAGAGUAAAUCCCACCUGCCACUGAUUCAGCAACUCUAAGGGUAAGAAACGUGAGGAUUCCCGGAAUUAAUUCGAGCAGCUUUCCCAAACUGCGAAUUCCGCUUAUGUAGUCGCCAUACUUUGGAUUACGUGUUUAUUUCCCUUCCCCACUCGCAAAAUGUAUUUUUCCAGCUUUGCCACGUAAUUGGUCAACCGACAGAAGUUCUGAUCGGAAAUUCUUAAAACCCACUACAAAUGUAUGCGAGAGCUUCUGCUGUAUGGAGUCUUCUUGGCGCUAAAAACCUCGUCCCUCUCUUGGCAAAACCCAAAUUCUACAUUUUAUGAUGUUUAGUUGUUUUUCCUAAAACAGAAAAAAAAAAAAACCCUCUUGGUGGCAAAGUAUUGCCUCUGAA